rfam:Blastomyces gilchristii SLH14081 genomic scaffold supercont1.24, whole genome shotgun sequence.
GGCACAGUGGUAGAGUGGUUAAUACGUGAGACUCGAAUUCUCCAAAUGUGGUUAGUUCGCAUUUGGUAAGCUUUAGACCAUCUCAUGCCUUCGGGCGCGUAGGUUCGAAUCCUGCCUGUGUCG